UACGAAGGGGGCUAGCGUUGCUCGAAAUCACUGGGCGUAAAGGGUGCGUAGGCGGGUCUUUAAGUCAGGGGUGAAAUCCUGGAGCUCAACUCCAGAACUGCCUUCGAUACUGAGAGUCUCGAGUCCGAGAGAGGUGAGUGGAACUGCGAGUGUAGAGGUGAAAUUCGUAGAUAUUCGCAAGAACACCAGUGGCGAAGGCGGCUCACUGGCUCGGUACUGACGCUGAGGUGCGAAAGCGUGGGGAGCAAACAGG
rnacentral:rRNA from 1 species